rnacentral:rRNA from 1 species
UACGGGGGGGGCAAGCGUUGUUCGGAAUUACUGGGCGUAAAGGCUCGUAGGUGGCCAACUAAGUCAGACGUGAAAUCCCUCAGCUUAACUGGGGAACUGCGUCUGAUACUGGAUGGCUUGAGUUUGGGAGAGGGAUGCGGAAUUCCAGGUGUAGCGGUGAAAUGACGUAGAUAUCUGGAGGAACACCGGUGGCGAAGGCGGCAUCCUGGACCGAUAUUGACGCUGAGACGCGAAAGCGUGGGGAGCAAACAGG